rnacentral:lncRNA from 1 species
UGAGCAGUGGAUCCCAUAGCCCAACAGCUCAAGUCCUUGGUCAAAUGUGAUUCCUGCACUGAAUCUAUAAGGUACAGUCUCUAGCCUCCACAGCUGCAAUCAUGUACCUAUAUAGUGUGUAUAUCUGUGCCUAUAUAUGUAUACAUUCAAAUGCUGGAGUAAGUCAACAACAUCCAUCAAAAGGAACUUCAAAAGAUGGGUUGCAAUCUCAACUCUAUGCAUUAGGAUAACACAGCCUCUCUUAAUAUAUAUAUAGAAUACAUAUAGCCUUUCUCAAAUACAUAUAGAAUGGCUUACACAUAAUAAAAAAAGGUAUUUCUUGUCAUGUAAAGGAUAAUAUGUAUGCUCUUAAUUGAUGGGGACCUGUCCAUCAAGUGGCUACAUAGGGAUUCAAUCUUCUUCUGCCAUUUAUCUCUAUCAGAGCUAUCCCAUGGUCUUCAAGGUCCCUGCACGAAUUUGUACCAAGCUUGCCAAAGGAAAAAUAAUAGAACAAGAACUACAAAGACUAUGGGCUAUGCCUGGAAGUGAAGCUAUGUACUUUCCAACACUUUAUGUUUUCUAGAAAUCUAAAACAGGACCAUAGUCACUGCAGAAGCUGGGAAGUGAAGUCAAGUGUGGGCUCAGAGUAAAACAGAGAAAGAUUUGGUUAGCAGCUAACAGUCUUCAUCACACUUUAUACAUGUCCAGUCCUGUGAUUUAAACAAAUUCACAGAUGUUCUAAGAGCAUUAGGUUAUUAACAUGUAAAAUGGAGAAAAUUAUGCCAAUCUACCUCCUACAAAAAUUUGCUACAUAAUGGAAUUCCCAUGUGGCUCAGUUUUGUCACUGCAGUGGGUCAGGUAACUGCUGUGGCAUGGUUUGACUCCUGGCUCAGGAACUUCUGUAUACUGCCUGUGACACCAAAAAAAAAAAAUAGUGCACAAAAAAAAUACUAUAUAAGAUCAAGUAUAUUAAGGCAUAUAGUGAGAUUUUUUGAAUUUUUUAAAAAUCAUUUUAUGUAAUUGCAGAGUGAUAUUGAGAUUAAUUCUUUUUUUUUUUUUUUUUUUUGGUCUUUUUAGAGCCACACCAGUGGCAUAUGGAAAUUCCCUAGGGGUCAAAUUGGAGCUGCAGCCACUGGCUACACCACAGCCACAGCAAUGCCAGAUCCUUAACCCACUGAGCUAGGCCAGGGAUCGAACCUGCAUCCUCAUGGAUACUAGUCAGAUUUGUUUCCAAUGAGCCAUGAUGGGAAUUCCCUGAGACCUACUCAUUCAGGAGCCUACCCAUGUCCUCUGUGUGCCAGUGCUUGAGAAGAAAGCAAAACUGAUUUCUGUCUUCAUGAUCAUGGGUGGUGCUUUUAAGAGAGCAUAUGAGUGGAAAGAUAGGGGUAAAAUGUUGGUUAUGUUAGCAGGUGAAAGGUAAGGGGUCUAGACAUUGGAGGAGACAUUUCCAGCCUGAGAGGUGAAAGCUCAGAGAGGAAUCUUCCAUGAUAUGAAAACGUGCUGCUGAAGCACCAUCAUUGUAUGUUGGUAGAUGACUUAGAAUGGAUUUGGACUAGAGGAGGAAGGGACCUUGGCGGCCAUCACAAAGCAUAUGGAUUAUCAAUGAAGUGCAGUGAGAAGCCUUAUGAACUCUUUACAUUAAAUUUCUUAUGUUCAGAUUUGAGUGAUAUUAACUUGGGAAAAGGUAUUUUAACAUAUAUUUCAAUAAAAAUAAAGAUCACUAAUUUUAAAAUAGAAUAACAGCAAUGAGAGCAAAAACUUGUUAGUUUACUACUGUUUUAGUAAAUUCUAGAAAAAGCCUUUGACUACACUCUGCCUUAGUUCUCAACUCUACCAUAGUCCUGCCACAGGAUUCCUGAGUGUGAUAUAUACACCCCCAUUGAUUUUUACUUGGGAAUUACCAUAGAAGCUGAAUUAGCCAUGAUUGUUGUGGCAGAGAUGGUAGCAUUCAAGAGCUCUCUUCAUCUUUCUUUACAUUUUUCAGUCUCUCUUGAUAGGAUAUGUAGUUCAUAGUAGGUUAGGUUUAGUAGUUCAUUAUGAUACAUGAGUUCUAUGUAGAAAUGGCACGUGCUAUCUGUGGAUCAAGUUAAGAGUGUUCCAUACCUUCUUCUUCCAUUUUGUGACCCUGGAGGCAAGGUGCUGAUAGGAUAGAUUUCUAAGUUUGUGCAUCUUUCAGCAGUCUAGGCCCUUGAAUGUCUCUGUGAGCACAAUGCACCGCCCUCACCGCCAUUUGACAAGCAUGGUAUGUGUAGUGUAAAAAAUCAAACCUUGUUGCAUUAAAUCACUGCAAAUUUGGGGUUAGGUUUUUACUAUAUAGCUCAUCUAAAAUGUGUGUUGUGCCUUAAUGUCUCUAAGAAGGAAAGAAGACCAAAGACCUCCUUUUUUAUAGGUACCAGAAGUAAAAGCA